AGCUCCAAUAGCGUAUAUUAAAGUUGUUGCGGUUAAAAAGCUCGUAGUUGGAUUUCUGUUGAGGACGUCCGGUCCGCACUAUGUGCGUGUAUCUGGUUCGGCCUCGGCAUCCUCUUGAGGAACGUUUCUGCGCUUGAUUGCGUGGAGCGGUAUUCAAGACUUUUACUUGAGGAAAUUAGAGUGUUCACGGCAGGCUUACGCCUUGAAUAUAUUAGCAUGGAAUAAUAACAUAGGAUCUUGGUCCUAUUUUGUUGGUUUCUAGGACUUAGAUAAUGAUUAAUAGGGACAAUUGGGGGCAUUCGUAUCGCGGCGUCAGAGGUGGAAUUCUUAGAUUGCUGCGCGACGAACUACUGCGAAAGCAUUUGCCAAGGAUGUUUUCAUUGAUC
rnacentral:rRNA from 1 species